UUAUGCCAUUUCAGACUCCUUACAGGAAGUCUAGCGAAGGGGACCUUAGUAAGGCACCUUAAAUUGAAAACUGCUUGUACAAUACCAACACUUUCAAACCCUGGCUCUACUAACAACAGCUUCAUUAGCUUAAAAAAAACAUAACUAAUGCUUCUUUGCAUCUGCACUUGUUGCAUCUGCAUUUCCAGUGCACUUUGUAUCUGCUAGUGAUGUUGGCUAUGAUUAUGUCCUCUUUUGAAAGUCGCUUUGGUUAUAAAGCGUCUGCCAAAUGCAAUGUAAUGUAAUGUAAAUAUCAUGUAUAUUUCCGUGUUUUAGGGAUGGCAAGGGGAGUGUUGACAAGAUGUUUAUAAAAAUAUAUGACAAUAAAAUAUACGACAAUAAAAUAUAUGACAAUAACAACACAAUAUUUUUCCUAGAGACAGAGGAGUCUAACCAACACACACUUUGUUCAUGAGUUCAAAGAGAUUGGCCAGACAGACAUGCACAAAAGAAUGGAAGAGGGCCCGGCGAGAAGGCUGUGCGAGAUGCAGCCAGGACAGGCCAGACUCAGGCAGAAGAGUGACCAAGAUCUUGUUUUCUCUCCACCACCAUCAUAUAGCCUAUGCCACAAACAUCAUCCAUUCAAAAUCUUCCGGAAUUACCCAUGGCGAAUAGGGGGCUUCAGUCAUGGAGAAACAAAAGAGGCUCCUUUUGAGGGUAACAGAUGAUUAAAAAAGAAGCUACCUAGCCAUGGAACUGCACAUGGAGCGAAUGACAAGGAGGAUGGAAGCUAUGAAGAGGAGCUGCAUUGGAUGUUCAUGUGUGGACUGUAUUUAAGUGUUGAUUUUAAAACGAUUAUGCAAAGAAGAGUUGGAAAAAUUCAUCCACAGCCAUGUCGGUUCUUGUAAACCCUUCACUAAAAUUGUUGCUGCUGGGGGUGGUACAUGAAGUUAUAAAGUUAACAGAGACAUAACUUGCAGGUUUUGUGGCAUCUCUUAAAUGUGCAGUGUGUACUCUUUCGAAUACUGUACUUCAUUUCCAGAGGUCAUGCUGCCCAUUCAAAAAUGUUACCUUUUGAACACCAUCAAAUUCUAAGUAUUCAUUGCUCUUCUCCAUGGUCAGUAGGCUAAUUAGCAUUUCCAGAAAUUGACAUUUUUAGCUGCAGGACUCACUGUAUUUGGACAUGCUGCUAAAUACUAGUUUAUUAUUUAGUAUUCAGUAUAUAUGCAGAGGCCACGAUCCUACACAGUGCAUUUUGAAUAAACUGCAUCUUGCCAGGGAUUAUGUCAUGUUUUGCUUGGGUCAUCCUUAUUUAAUGCACAUGUUUGUAAUGUUUGACGCUUGUUCUGAAAAUGUUAAGUGUGCAAUAAAGUAAAA